rnacentral:rRNA from 1 species
CAGUCGCCGCGGGAAUACGUAGGGUGCGAGCGUUAAUCGGAAUUACUGGGCGUAAAGCGCACGUAGGCGGCUUGGUAAGUUAGAGGUGAAAGCCUGGAGCUCAACUCCAGAAUUGCCUUUAAGACUGCCGAGCUAGCAGGUGAGAGAGGUAAGUGGAAUUCCGAGUGUAGAGGUGAAAUUCGUAGAUAUUCGGAAGAACACCAGUGGCGAAGGCGGCUUACUGGCUCAUACUGGACGCUGAGGUGCGAAAGCGUGGGGAGCAAACAGGAUUAGAUACCCGCGUAGUCCCUGUCUCUUAUAC